CAGCAGCCGCGGGAAUACGAAGGGGGCUAGCGUUGUUCGGAUUUACUGGGCGUAAAGGGUGCGUAGGCGGACUGAUAAGUCAGGGGUGAAAUCCCAAGGCUCAACCUUGGAACUGCCUUUGAUACUGUUAGUCUUGAGUUCGAGAGAGGUGAGUGGAACUGCGAGUGUAGAGGUGAAAUUCGUAGAUAUUCGCAAGAACACCAGUGGCGAAGGCGGCUCACUGGCUCGAAACUGACGCUGGGGCACGAAAGCGUGGGGAGCAAACAGGAUUAGAUACCCCGGUAGUCCCUGUCUCUUAUAC
rnacentral:rRNA from 1 species